rnacentral:rRNA from 1 species
CCUACGGGAGGCAGCAGUGGGGAAUUUUGGACAAUGGGCGCAAGCCUGAUCCAGCAAUGCCGCGUGAGUGAAGAAGGCCUUCGGGUUGUAAAGCUCUUUUGUCAGGGAAGAAACGGUGAAGACUAAUAUCUUUUGCUAAUGACGGUACCUGAAGAAUAAGCACCGGCUAACUACGUGCCAGCAGCCGCGGUAAUACGUAGGGUGCAAGCGUUAAUCGGAAUUACUGGGCGUAAAGCGUGCGCAGGCGGUUUUGUAAGUUUGUCGUGAAAUCCCCGGGCUCAACCUGGGAAUGGCGAUGAAGACUGCAAGGCUAGAAUCUGGCAGAGGGGGGUAGAAUUCCACGUGUAGCAGUGAAAUGCGUAGAGAUGUGGAGGAACACCGAUGGCGAAGGCAGCCCCCUGGGUCAAGAUUGACGCUCAUGCACGAAAGCGUGGGGAGCAAACAGGAUUAGAUACCCUGGUAGUCCACGCCCUAAACGAUGUCUACUAGUUGUCGGGUUUUAAUUAACUUGGUAACGCAGCUAACGCGUGAAGUAGACCGCCUGGGGAGUACGGUCGCAAGNUUAAAACNCAAAUGAAAUUGACGGCUGAGACGNGCGAGGACGACGACGAGGGAGGAGG